rnacentral:lncRNA from 12 species
CUGUCUCCUUCACCUGCUGCCUCCAAAAAUCAUGAUCAACUUCUUGGUUUGAGUAGCAAGACCUCAAAAUGUGAUGUGACAGGUGACUUGCCAGCUCCUCUGAGCCAAUUUCUAGCAUCCUAUCAGAGAAAAACAACAGCAUCACAUGUGGGGUCAGGAAGAAGUUGCUAGCACUGAAAAGGAGUGCAGACCUUCACUGGACCCCCAGAAGCUGGACUAGGAUUUGGCUUGAGCCAGGACCAGGAAACCCCACUGAGUUGGACAUCUGGAAAUCAAUUUCACCCUUCAUGGCUAUGCAAACCACCUACAGUGCCCUUUGACAGCAGAUGAGUUUUAAGAGGAUCCCAAAGAGGAUUUGCACUGGCAAGGCAAAAUGACUUGUUUCAACCUUUUAGAGAUAACCUGUGGAGUAUUUGAGAAAAAUGGCUUAAGAAAUUUAGUCAGGAUAAAAUGUUCCACCUUGCUACGUUACAAGAGGACAAACCAUACACCUUACUCUUUCCUUUACAACUUGACUUUUCCAUCUCAGAUACAGACAGAUUCUUAUUUGCAACAAUGUAUUAAUAACACUCUAACAACACUUGGUAAUCUUCUGCUGGCGGAAACUUGUUUUGGUGGAGAGGCAGGACAAAAUUUUUCUUGAAAUGGGUACAAGAGAGAAUAGGAAGCCAGGAAGCAAAGACUGUAAAAAGAAGUUUUUUCUAGAAAGGGAAAGAAAAAAUAGGAUGGUAGAAAUGAAGGUUUUUAAAGAUGGAAGACACUGGUCAGAAGGAAUGGACAACUUCAUUGCAUUCAGGUACUUGGGAAACUGAUUGUGUGAAUAGUGUUGUCAAGCAUGACAGGAAAAAUAUUUGUACAAAACUCAACACUCAAACAACUUUUGUCGAAGUCAAAUGACCUGCACAUUGCCAAAUCAACCAGGCCGUUC